GUGGGGAAUAUUGGGCAAUGGGGGAAACCCUGACCCAGCGACGCCGCGUGAGGGAAGAAGGCCUUAGGGUCGUAAACCUCUGUUGUGUGGGAAGAAGAGCGUGACGGUACCACACGAGGAAGUCCCGGCUAACUACGUGCCAGCAGCCGCGGUAAUACGUAGGGGACGAGCGUUGUCCGGAUUUACUGGGCGUAAAGGGCGCGUAGGCGGUCAUUUAAGUCAGCUGUGAAAUGGUUUGGCUUAACCGGAUCAUGCGGUUGAAACUGGAGGACUGGAGUGCUGGAGAGGCAAGUGGAAUUCCCAGUGUAGCGGUGAAAUGCGUAGAUAUUGGGAAGAACACCGGUGGCGAAGGCGACUUGCUGGCCAGCAACUGACGCUGAGGCGCGAAAGCCAGGGGAGCAAACGGGAUUAGAAACCCGGGUAGUCC
rnacentral:rRNA from 1 species